AUUGAACGCUGGCGGCAGGCUUAACACAUGCAAGUCGAACGCGUGGCGGACGGGUGAGUAAUGCUUGGGAAUCCAGCUUAUGGAGGGGGAUAACUACGGGAAACUGUAGCUUAUCCCGCGUACCAUAGUAUGAGCCCAUGUGGGAUUAGUUAGUUGGGGAGGUAAAGGCUCACCAAGCCGACGAUCUCUAGCUGGUCUGAGAGGAUGAUCAGCCACACUGGGACUGAGACACGGACCAGACUCCUACGGGAGGCAGCAGUGGGGAAUAUUGCGCAAUGGGGGCAACCUGACGCAGCCAUGCCGCGUGAAUGAAGAAGGCCUUCGGGUUGUAAAGUACUUUCAGUCGGGAGGCGUUACCGACAGAAGAAGCACCGGCUAACUCCGUGCCAGCAGCCGCGGUAAUUC
rnacentral:rRNA from 1 species